rnacentral:rRNA from 1 species
UACGUAGGGCGCAAGCGUUGUCCGGAAUUAUUGGGCGUAAAGAGCUCGUAGGCGGUUUGUCGCGUCUGCUGUGAAAACCUGAGGCUCAACCUCGGGCUUGCAGUGGGUACGGGCAGACUAGAGUGCGGUAGGGGGUGACUGGAAUUCCUGGUGUAGCGGUGGAAUGCGCAGAUAUCAGGAGGAACACCGAUGGCGAAGGCAGGUCACUGGGCCGCAACUGACGCUGGAGGAGCGAAAGCAUGGGGAGCGAACAGG